GGCCUGGUGGUGUAGCGAUUACACGCCCUCCUACAUUAGGCGGUAUAUCAGCAUAUAUGAGGAAGUCCCUCGUUCAACCCGGGGUCAGGCCA